rnacentral:ncRNA from 1 species
GGGAGCCGGAUGAGCUGAGAGGUUCAAGUCCGGUUCUAAGAGGGCCUCGGGGUGAAAUUCCCCGGGGCUACUCACC